rnacentral:rRNA from 1 species
UGGGGAAUUUUGGACAAUGGGCGAAAGCCUGAUCCAGCAAUGCCGCGUGUGUGAAGAAGGCCUUCGGGUUGUAAAGCACUUUUGUCCGGAAAGAAAUCCUUGGCUCUAAUACAGUCGGGGGAUGACGGUACCGGAAGAAUAAGCACCGGCUAACUACGUGCCAGCAGCCGCGGUAAUACGUAGGGUGCAAGCGUUAAUCGGAAUUACUGGGCGUAAAGCGUGCGCAGGCGGUUUGCUAAGACCGAUGUGAAAUCCCCGGGCUCAACCUGGGAACUGCAUUGGUGACUGGCAGGCUAGAGUAUGGCAGAGGGGGGUAGAAUUCCACGUGUAGCAGUGAAAUGCGUAGAGAUGUGGAGGAAUACCGAUGGCGAAGGCAGCCCCCUGGGCCAAUACUGACGCUCAUGCACGAAAGCGUGGGGAGCAAACAGGAUUAGAUACCUUGGUAGUCCACGCCCUAAACGAUGUCAACUAGUUGUUGGGGAUUCAUUUCCUUAGUAACGUAGCUAACGCGUGAAGUUGACCGCCUGGGGAGUACGGUCGCAAGAUUAAAACUUAAAGGAAUUGACGGGGUCAUAGCUGUUCCU